GCUAAACGGAGGAACAUGGACGU
rnacentral:piRNA from 1 species